UUGGAGCAUCUUCUGGGUAUAUGCCCAGGAGCAGUAUAGCUGUUUCCUCAGGUAGUACUAUGUCCAAUUUUCUGAGGAACCUCCAAACUGAUUUCCAGAGUGGUUGGACCAGUUUAUAAUCCCACCAGCAAUGGAGAAGUGUUCCUUUUUCUCCACUUUCUCACCAGCAUCUGCUGUCAGAGGGUAAUAGUUAAUGCAGAGACUUGAAACUGUUUGAAGUCCUGAGAAUAACUGUUGAAAGCUCAUGCCUAAAUAAGAUCUCUAUGUCACCACCUUCAAGGCCUAGGAAACAUUGCAUAAAAAUGGAGUGAAAAGAUUGCAUGAGCUUGAAGUUGGAGAGAGAAAUACCAUGAAAUACAGUCUUCUUGAUGUUGCAUGGCCAUUGUAGCCAUGAACACAGUAUCUGUGGUUAUUUAAAUAAAUAUACACUCCUGCACAUAAGAUAUGAACACAGAAUGGGACUUAUUUGGGAAGAAUGGAAUGAACAGGAGUAAGAAUAAUGGGAGAGGGUAAAUAUGGUCACAAUAUAUUCUAUAUUUGUGUGAAACCAUCAAAAGUAAAGUUACAAGUCAUUAUUGUAGGCAUACAUCAUUAGAUUAUUUCCUAGAAAACAUAAUAUCUCCAUGAUUGCAUUUUAAAAGAACUAUCUGUUGGAAUAAAAGUAAACUAUAUUGCUUAAAAUACUGCUAUGUUAUUGAUACUUUAUCAAAAGUGUCUUUAAAACUCAUUCUGACUAUAUUGUCUUUUCAAGGGUUAAUCAGAGGACUUUUUGAAUUGAAUAGGCAAGACAUAGUUACUGGUGGCAUGUAGGUCAACAACAUUAAAGGCAUUCAUCCAGCAUAACUUGGACAUUUAUUAUGGAUAUAGCUUGAGAGAAUUUGCCCUGCCCUCUGGAAACAUUCCUCAAGUAUCAUUUCAAUAGAUAAAUAAUAUGGCCAGAUGCCAAUCAAAUUAUGUUAAAAACUUGAAUAUUUAUACAUGUUCUGUUUGAUCAUUAUUGUAUUAAAUAUCUCUAGCCACGAGUUAAAUUAUUUCUAAAAGUAGUUUAAGACAAAUAAAUGCUGGGAAGGGGUGCUGGCCAUUACACAUUGGUAAUCAGACAAUGUGAAUCAGUCUAUGGAAAUCAAAAUGAUAUUCCUCAAAAAAAAAAUAUGUAUUAGCUAUACCACUUCUGUGAAUUUAAACAUGCUAUGGGUUUUUUUUUAAUGUUUUUUAAACUAUUCAUAGUAGACAAGUUAUGGAUUUGGCAUAUGUCCAUCAACUGAUAGGUGUAUAGAAAAUGUGGUAUAUAUGUAUUCAGUAAAGUUUUAUUUAGCCAUAAACAAUGAAAUUGUCACUGCAAGAAAAAUGUAAUGAACCUAGAAAUCAUAUUCCCAGUGUUGUGUAGCAGUUUCCUUUGAAUUGAAACCAUCCUGGAGGGAGGAGACAGGUUUAUGAGACUGGGGAACUAAGCAAAGCUUAAAAUGUCCCAGAAAGCUGAAACAUACAAGAUUCACACAUAUACUGAUUAUGUAAUAGUUACUGUUACAUAACAGUAAAAACUUUCUGGGAUGUAGAGACUUUCAACCAGCCCACCUACCUGAAAGUUGUAGCUUUCAAGUCUGUAACUCUACAGUGAGGCAGCUGCCUUCAAACAUGAACACUCUUACAACUAAUAAACUUCCUGGUCCACUAACCUACACUUGGAUGGAGUAAUUUAUUUGAUCUGCCCUUUGUGGGAUGAAUAGAUAUUUGUUCAUGUCUUCACAGGAAAUUGCAUAACAUAUAAGUAUUUUAUUCUUGUUCAUAGAGCCUAGAUUUUGUGUGUGUGCGGGGGUGGGGAGGUCUUGCGUGCUCCCGAUUGGCCAGGAAGAACGAUGCUGCAACAGGAUCCUUCCGCACACGUUUAUUGGGAGAGCUUGAUUGCAGAGGCGAAGUGACCCCAAGCCCAGAAUUGGUGCUGCUUAUAUAGGCCUAGGAGAGGCGUGUCUCACACCCGGAUUGGUUGUGCUUGGGUUAUGCUUACCACCUUAUUUGCAUGCCUACAUCUGAUUGGUUAACUUCUCUCUCAUCUGAUGGGUUAACUUGUCUCUCAUCUGAUUGGUUAAUUUUGGUUAAUUCUCAAAACCUCAUCUUGGCAAAAACAACUUUACUGCCUAUGUAUGCGUGGUGGCCAGCGCCACCCUGCAACGGCACAUGUGGCUUCCCACAGAGAGGGAGGGGGAGAUGUGUAUGCACACUGAAGUGUGGGUAUGUGAACAAAAUAAAAAUAGAAGCUUGGGAGUACUACAUUAUGGACUAAUGAAAAUGCCAUGAAAGUUAGGAAACUCACAACUGUACAAUGAAUAUGUACAAAAAAAAAAAAAAAAAAAAAA